UUGUCCUACGGGAGGCAGCAGUGGGGGAUAUUGCACAAUGGGGGGAACCCUGAUGCAGCGACGCCGCGUGGGUGAAGAAGCGCCUCGGCGCGUAAAGCCCUGUCAGCAGGGAAGAAAAUGACGGUACCUGAAGAAGAAGCCCCGGCUAACUACGUGCCAGCAGCCGCGGUAAUACGUAGGGGGCAAGCGUUAUCCGGAUUUACUGGGUGUAAAGGGCGUGUAGGCGGGAGUGCAAGUCAGAUGUGAAAACUAUGGGCUCAACCCAUAGCCUGCAUUUGAAACUGUACUUCUUGAGUGCUGGAGAG
rnacentral:rRNA from 1 species